rnacentral:rRNA from 1 species
AUUGAACGCUGGCGGCAGGCCUAACACAUGCAAGUCGAGCGAGUGGCGGACGGGUGAGUAAUGCUUGGGAAUCUAGCUUAUGGAGGGGGAUAACUACGGGAAACUGUGGCUAAUACCGCAUACUAUCGGAUGAACCCAUAUGGGAUUAGCUAGUGGGUGGGGUAACGGCUCACCUAGGCGACGAUCCCUAGCUGGUCUGAGAGGAUGAUCAGCCACACUGGAACUGAGACACGGCCCAGACUCCUACGGGAGGCAGCAGUGGGGAAUAUUGCACAAUGGGCGCAAGCCUGAUGCAGCCAUGCCGCGUGUAUGAAGAAGGCCUUCGGGUUGUAAAGUUCUUUCGGUAGCGAGGCGUUACCUACAGAAGAAGCACCGGCUAACUCCGUGCCAGCCGCCGCGGUAAUAC